GAUGAUCCUCCCUGAGAAGGUGAAAUGAGAGAAAGACUUAAAGGAGGUGAGGGAGUUUGCUAAGUGGAUAUCCAAGAAGAAUAUCCCAGGUAGAGGGAACAGAAAGAGCAAAGGCUUUCAGGUGUAAGUGAUAAUGGGGAGAUGGAAGGUAAAGGGCCUUGGUGAGGAUUCUGGGAAAUGUUGGAGGGAUGUGAGUAGAGGAAAGCCAUGAUCUGGCUUUUUCCUAGGAAACCCUCAUCCCAGCUGCUGUGUUGAGAGCAGACCUCAGAGGAGCAAGUGAGAAGCCCUCUCAGCAGGUCAUUGCAACAAACCAGCUAUCCAGUUCAUAGUCGUGAGUGCCUCUGGUUGUGCUGUGUGGGAUGCCACCUCAGCACGGCUUGAUGAGUGGUGCCAUGUUGCACCCAGGAUCCGAACUGGCGAAACCCUGGGCCGCUGAAACGGAGUGCGUGAACUUAACCACUCGUCCAGGGGGCCGGCCCCAGAGAUACCUGUGAAGUUUCACUUGUUCAAGGGACCUGAAGAGUAGAUGGAUGCACACUGGGAACACACACUUGAUACAUGAGAAACCAGGGACUGACUGCCAACUCUUGGAAGAGAUGUUGGAAUAACCUGUGGAUGAAGCAUGCAUUGCUUGCUGUGGUUGGGGAGAUCACGACAUUGCCAGUUCUAGUAACAUCACAGAGAGGGAAGCAGUGUGUCAAAGUAUGCUGCAGGUCUGAUUCCCACAGCCAGGUGAGGUUUGGAAGUGAGCCUUGAAGAGGAAGCAGUGGUUUGAUGACCUGGUUGAGCGUUCUGAGAAAGACCUGUUCGCCCUGAUGUGGGCUGGUCAAGUAGUCUAUUGUUCCGAUAAAUGGAUUCUCAGAAAGUUCCUGGAACAAACAACAGAAUUAUUGGAAUCUUCAUCUUCCUGGACAACAAGUUUCUGAAACAGCAAAGUCAUGUUGGUGCCAAGUGUGGGAGGAUUGAGUCACGCGAGUGGAAACCGUAAGCUGUGUUGUGCUGGACAGUGUCUGAUCUCUGGGGUCAAUAAAACCUCUGCUCUCACUGUGUGAACUGGAAACUUCUGCGACUUCUCUGGAUGUUCCCUGUUCACUGGUACAAUAAGGGUAAAGAUAGUUCCUUUGGCAAAGUAGUGUUGUUGUGAAGACUGGAGGAGAUAAAGCCCAGGAUGUGCUUACACAAUGCUGGGUAUACAGGAAGUGCUCGAUAAAUGGGAAUCACUUUCAGAUUCCAACUGCCAGAGAAUCAGGUGACUUGGCGGCAGUUCUGAGGUGUGAGAUGCUGGUUAAUCCAGCUGCUAGAGUGAGAAGGGAAGAAAAUACAGCAGUCCUACAUGGAACAGAAACUCUGGCAUCAGCAAUUGGGUUUUAAUGGCAUGAGACUGAUAAGCUGAUAAGCUGAAAAGGUGAAAAUGAAAAUUAAGCGCUGAUAGCUCCACAGAAAGAGACAUUUAGGGUAACAAACUGAUUUUGCAAAGCCUGACUCAGAGAUUUUCUGCAGCAGAACAUCUAAUAACUACUUGCUUUAGAGAAAGAAUACAGCCCUGCUGACCCGUUUUGGAUGUGUCACGGCUGGAACUGUAAGCAGCGCAGCCCUGUCUUCAAACUGGAAGGAAGCCCAAUGUACAAAAUCCACACACCUGGGCUCUUUGGCUCAAGUAAGAGCAGCAGGAGCCCCUCACGUCCCAGAGCCGCUCAAGAAGCCCCCAGGAGCACGGCAUACUUCGGAGAAGCUGUGGGUUCGGUUCCAGACCACAAUAAAGCAAAUAUUGCAAUAAAGUGAGUCACACAAAUUUCUUGGUUUCCCAGUGCAUGUAAAAGCCGUGUUUACGUUACACUGUAGUCUAUUAAGUGUGCAAUAACAUUACAUCUAAAAAAACAAUGCGGAC
rnacentral:lncRNA from 1 species